AUUGAACGCUGGCGGCAGGCUUAACACAUGCAAGCCGAACGAUGAAGAUAUAGCUUGCUAUACUGGAUUAGUGGCGGACGGGUGAGUAACACUUAGGAAUCUACCUUUUAGCGGGGGAUAGCUCGGGGAAACUCGAAUUAAUACCGCAUAAUUUCUACGGAAUAAAGAGGGCUUUUAGCUCUCACUAGAAGAUGAGCCUAAGUAAGAUUAGCUAGUUGGUGGGGUAAAGGCCUACCAAGGCGACGAUCUUUAGCUGGGCUGAGAGGAUGAUCAGCCACACUGGGACUGAGACACGGCCCAGACUCCUACGGGAGGCAGCAGUGGGGAAUAUUGGACAAUGGGGGCAACCCUGAUCCAGCCAUGCCGCGUGUGUGAAGAAGGCCUUUUGGUUGUAAAGCACUUUAAGCAGUGAAGAAGACCUAUUGGUUAAUACCCAAUAGCGAUGACAUUAACUGCAGAAUAAGCACCGGCUAACUCUGUGCCAGCAGCCGCGGUAAUACAGAGGGUGCAAGCGUUAAUCGGAAUUACUGGGCGUAAAGCGAGCGUAGGUGGUUAAAUAAGUCAGAUGUGAAAGCCCUGGGCUCAACCUAGGAACGGCAUCUGAAACUAUUUAACUAGAGUAGGUGAGAGGGAAGUAGAAUUUCAGGUGUAGCGGUGAAAUGCGUAGAGAUCUGAAGGAAUACCGAUGGCGAAGGCAGCUUCCUGGCAUCAUACUGACACUGAGGCUCGAAAGCGUGGGUAGCAAACAGG
rnacentral:rRNA from 1 species